rnacentral:miRNA from 1 species
UGAGCUGAGCUGAGCUGAGCUGAGCUGAGCUGGGCUGAGCUGGGCUGAGCUGGGCUGGGCUGGGCUGGGC